rnacentral:rRNA from 1 species
CCUACGGGGGGCAGCAGUGAGGAAUAUUGGUCAAUGGGCGUAAGCCUGAACCAGCCAAGUCGCGUGAAGGAUGACUGCCCUACGGGUUGUAAACUUCUUUUAUAAGGGAGUAAAGUUAGCCACGUGUGGCUUUUUGUAUGUACUCUAUGAAUAAGCAUCGGCUAACUCCGUUCCAGCAGCCGCGGUAAUACGGAGGAUGCGAGCGUUAUCCGGAUUUAUUGGGUUUAAAGGGAGCGUAGGUUGGUUUUUAAGUCCGUGGUGAAAGUUUGGGGCUCAACCAUAAAAUUGCCGUUGAAACUGGAAGACUUGAGUGUGUUUGAGGUAGGCGGAAUGCGUGGUGUAGCGGUGAAAUGCAUAGAUAUCACGAAGAACUCCGAUUGCGAAGGCAGCUUACUAAGCUAUAACUGACACUGAUGCACGAAAGUGUGGGGAUCAAACAGGAUUAGAUACCCGUGUAGUC